rnacentral:misc_RNA from 1 species
UCCAGCUUAUCGCUGGCAGUCUCGCUAGAGUCCCCAACUCAAUGAUGGUAACUAGCAAUAAGGGUUGCGCUCGUUGCGGGACUUAACCCAACAUCUCACGACACGAGCUGACGACAACCAUGCACCACCUGUCUCCCCGGAUACCUCCGCUUUAUCUCUAAAGCAUUGCGGGGGAUGUCAAGACCUGGUAAGGUUCUUCGCGUAUCAUCGAAUUAAACAACAUGAUCCACCGCUUGUGCGGGGUCCCGUCAAUUCCUUUGAGUUUCAUACUUGCGUACGUACUACUCAGGCGGAGCACUUAUUGCGUUAACUACAGCACAGGGUUUCCCCUACACUUAGUGCUCAUCGUUUACGGCGUGGACUAC